AAAUUUAGGUUAACUAUAAACCAAGGACCUUCAAAGCCCUAAAUAGGUAUCAUCCUAAUUUCUG
rnacentral:tRNA from 1 species